UACAGAGGGGGCAAGCGUUGUUCGGAAUUACUGGGCGUAAAGGGGUCGUAGGCGGCCAACUAAGUCAGACGUGAAAUCCCUAGGCUCAACCUAGGAACUGCGUCUGAUACUGGAUGGCUUGAAUCCGGGAGAGGGAUGCAGAAUUCCAGGUGUAGCGGUGAAAUGCGUAGAUAUCUGGAGGAAUACCGGUGGCGAAGGCGGCAUCCUGGACCGGCAUUGACGCUGAGGAGCGAAAGCUAGGGGAGCAAACGGG
rnacentral:rRNA from 1 species